rnacentral:rRNA from 1 species
AUGAAGCUUGUCGUUGUGCUCUCGGCCCUGCUACUGCUUUCUCUCCUCGCCGUCUCCUCCGCCGAGGAAUUCGAUUUCUUCUACCUUGUUCAGCAAUGGCCUGGGUCCUUCUGUGACACGAAGAAGGGGUGCUGCUUCCCGGACACCGGCAAGCCGGCGACGGACUUCGGCAUCCACGGGCUGUGGCCCAACUACGCCAAGUGCAAGACCCGCGGCGAGCUCGACGGCGCCCUGGAGAUGGUGACCAAGCGCAAGAAGAAGUGCUGGCCGGAGAACUGCAACAGCGAGCGCCUCAAGCUCUGGGAGAUCAAGGACCUGGUGACGGAGCUGGACGCCAACUGGCCGACGCUGGCGUGCAAGGGCGGCAAGAGCAUCGAGUUCUGGACCCACGAGUGGGAGAAGCACGGCACCUGCUCCAACCUGGACCAGCACGGCUACUUCGCGACGGCGCUCGGCUUCAAGGCCCGCCACAACCUCACCGGCAUCCUCGCCGACGCCGGGAUCGUGCCGUCGGACAGCGAGACCUACUUCCUCAGCAGCAUCAGGGACGCCAUCAAGGAGGGGACCGGGUUCACGGCGAACCUCGAGUGCAACCGCGGCGUCGCCGGCGAGACGCAGCUGUUCCAGGUGUACCAGUGCAUCGACAGCGCCGGGGAGAACCUCAUCGACUGCCCGCUGCCGAUGCAGGGCAACUGCAAAGACAGGGUCCAGCUGCCGGCCUUCUGA